CCUACGGGAGGCAGCAGUGAGGAAUAUUGGUCAAUGGGCUUACGCCUGAACCAGCCAAGUCGCGUGAGGGAAGACUGCCCUAUGGGUUGUAAACCUCUUUUGUCAGGGAGCAACGCCGGCUACGUGUAGCCGUACUGAGAGUACCUGAAGAAAAAGCAUCGGCUAACUCCGUGCCAGCAGCCGCGGUCAUACGGAGGAUGCGAGCGCUAUCCGGAUUUAUUGGGUUUCAAGGGUGCGUAGGCGGAAUGCCAAGUCAGCGGUAAAAUCGCGGGGCUCAACCUCGCUACGCCGUUGACACUGGCGUUGGUGAGUGGGCGAGAAGUAUGCGGAAUGCGUGGUGUAGCGGUGAAAUGCAUAGAGAUCACGCAGAACUCCGAUUGCGAAGGCAGAAUACCGGCGCCCAACUGACGCUGAAGCACGAAAGCGUGGGUAUCGAACAGGAUUAGAUACCCGAGUAGUC
rnacentral:rRNA from 1 species